UAGGGUCAUUGGAAACUGGGGAACUUGAGUGCAGAAGAGGAGAGUGGAAUUCCACGUGUAGCGGUGAAAUGCGUAGAGAUGUGGAGGAACACCAGUGGCGAAGGCGACUCUCUGGUCUGUAACUGACGCUGAGGAGCGAAAGCGUGGGGAGCGAACAGGAUUAGAUACCCUGGUAGUCCACGCCGUAAACGAUGAGUGCUAAGUGUUAGGGGGUUUCCGCCCCUUAGUGCUGCAGCUAACGCAUUAAGCACUCCGCCUGGGGAGUACGGUCGCAAGACUGAAACUCAAAGGAAUUGACGGGGGCCCGCACAAGCGGUGGAGCAUGUGGUUUAAUUCGAAGCAACGCGAAGAACCUUACCAGGUCUUGACAUCCUCUGACAAUCCUAGAGAUAGGACGUCCCCUUCGGGGGCAGAGUGACAGGUGGUGCAUGGUUGUCGUCAGCUCGUGUCGUGAGAUGUUGGGUUAAGUCCCGCAACGAGCGCAACCCUUGAUCUUAGUUGCCAGCAUUCAGUUGGGCACUCUAAGGUGACUGCCGGUGACAAACCGGAGGAAGGUGGGGAUGACGUCAAAUCAUCAUGCCCCUUAUGACCUGGGCUACAACACGA
rnacentral:rRNA from 1 species